rnacentral:rRNA from 1 species
GGCNGCUNACACAUGCAGUCGAGCGGGGCAGAUGUAGCUUGCUACAUGACCUAGCGGCGGACGGGUGAGUAAUGCUUAGGAAUCUGCCUAUUAGUGGGGGACAACAUUCCGAAAGGAAUGCUAAUACCGCAUACGCCCUACGGGGGAAAGCAGGGGAUCUUCGGACCUUGCGCUAAUAGAUGAGCCUAAGUCAGAUUAGCUAGUUGGUGGGGUAAAGGCCUACCAAGGCGACGAUCUGUAGCGGGUCUGAGAGGAUGAUCCGCCACACUGGGACUGAGACACGGCCCAGACUCCUACGGGAGGCAGCAGUGGGGAAUAUUGGACAAUGGGCGCAAGCCUGAUCCAGCCAUGCCGCGUGUGUGAAGAAGGCCUUUUGGUUGUAAAGCACUUUAAGCGAGGAGGAGGCUACUUGGAUUAAUACUCUAGGAUAGUGGACGUUACUCGCAGAAUAAGCACCGGCUAACUCUGUGCCAGCAGCCGCGGUAAUACAGAGGGUGCGAGCGUUAAUCGGAUUUACUGGGCGUAAAGCGUGCGUAGGCGGCUUCUUAAGUCGGAUGUGAAAUCCCUGAGCUUAACUUAGGAAUUGCAUUCGAUACUGGGAAGCUAGAGUAUGGGAGAGGAUGGUAGAAUUCCAGGUGUAGCGGUGAAAUGCGUAGAGAUCUGGAGGAAUACCGAUGGCGAAGGCAGCCAUCUGGCCUAAUACUGACGCUGAGGUACGACAGCAUGGGGAGCAAACAGGAUUAGAUACCCUGGUAGUCCAUGCCGUAAACGAUGUCUACUAGCCGUUGGGGCCUUUGAGGCUAUAGUGGCGCAGCUAACGCGAUAAGUAGACCGCCUGGGGAGUACGGUCGCAAGACUAAAACUCAAAUGAAUUGACGGGGGCCCGCACAAGCGGUGGAGCAUGUGGUUUAAUUCGAUGCAACGCGAAGAACCUUACCUGGUCUUGACAUAGUAAGAACUUUCCAGAGAUGGAUUGGUGCCUUCGGGAACUUACAUACAGGUGCUGCAUGGCUGUCGUCAGCUCGUGUCGUGAGAUGUUGGGUUAAGUCCCGCAACGAGCGCACCCUUUUCCUUAUUUGCCAUCGGGUUAGCCGGGAACUUUAGGAUACUGCCAGUGACAACUGGAGGAAGGCGGGGACGACGUCAGGUCAUCAUGGCCNUUACGACCGGGCUACCACGUGCUACAUGGUCGAAA